rnacentral:rRNA from 1 species
CCUACGGGUGGCAGCAGUGGGGGAUAUUGCACAAUGGGGGGAACCCUGAUGCAGCGACGCCGCGUGAGGGAAGACGGCCUUCGGGUUGUAAACCUCUGUCGCAGGGGACGAAGGAGAUGACGGUACCCUGUGAGGAAGCCACGGCUAACUACGUGCCAGCAGCCGCGGUAAUACGUAGGUGGCGAGCGUUGUCCGGAAUUACUGGGUGUAAAGGGAGCGUAGGCGGGAUAUUAAGUUGAAUGUAUAAACUACCGGCUUAACCGAUAGAAGCGUUCAAAACUGAUAUUCUUGAGUGAAGUAGAGGCAGGCGGAAUUCCUAGUGUAGCGGUGAAAUGCAUAGAUAUCACGCAGAACCCCGAUUGCGAAGGCAGCAUACCGGUGCACAACUGACGCUCAGGCACGAAAGCGUGGGUAUCGAACAGGAUUAGAUACCCUUGUAGUC